rnacentral:rRNA from 1 species
AUGAACGUUGGCGGCGUGGAUUAGGCAUGCAAGUCGAACGCGAAGGCCCCGCAAGGGGUUUGUAGCGUGGCGAAAGGGGCAGUAACACAUAAGUAACUUGCCUCCAGGACCGGGAUAUACGGUGGAAACGCCGGGCAAUACCGGACGUCCUCACGAGACGGCAUCGUUUUGUGAGGAAAGGUUUACCGCCUGGAGAGGGGCUUAUGCUCUAUCAGCUAGUUGGCGGGGUAACGGCCCACCAAGGCAUUGACGGAUAGGGGGUGUGAGAGCACGACCCUCGCCAUUGGCACUGAGACACUGGCCAGACUCCUACGGGAGGCUGCAGUCGAGAAUCUUCGGCAAUGGGCGAAAGCCUGACCGAGCGACGCCGCGUGGAGGAAGAAGGCCUUCGGGUUGUAAACUCCUGUUGGGGGGAAUCAAUUCAAUGAGAGAACCCCUGAGGAAGCACGGGCUAAGUUCGU